rnacentral:ncRNA from 2 species
ACAUUCGCUGCGAAUUUUGGUUUUCAUGGAUUUUGCGCCAUGGAAUGAAAAGGGAAUCCGGUGAGUUGAAGUACCCAUUACGAAUUUAGAAUUACGAAUUGUAAAAUUGUUGCGACUCGUAUUUUGUACCUCUAAAAUCGUACCUCAAUAAUUCCGGAGCUGUUCCCGCAACUGUAAACUUUGUCCGCCUUUGGCGGAUGCUUGCAACAACUUCAAGACCACUGUUCUUCACUAUGGGACGGGAAGGUGGUUUGCAAGACGUGAGCCAGGAGACCUGCCAAAAUUUUCAUCCGCCU